GCUGCUCGGCGGCGAGAACCCGUUCCUGGGCGUGGCCUACAUCGUGGUGGGCACGCUGUGCCUGCUGCUGGGGAUCGUGCUGCUCGUCAUACACGUGCGGUGCUCCAAGAGCACCACCGAGAUGAUCAACGUGAACCCGCGAACGCCAUACUCCUAAACGGUGUCACAGGUAACGCUAGAAUCAAUCCGUCUCUAUCUACCAAGUGGUGCCAGAAUGGGACGAAUAAUAUCUUUAUCAUCAUCAUAGGCCUAGGUCUAAUAGAAAUUGUCAGGCCGGUGGACGAUAUCAGUAACAAAAAAAGUGUAGACAUUAAAAUAUCCUUAUUUUUUUUGGAUGACAGUGCUAAUUAAUAAAAACCGGCCUGUGGGGUUCCGUAGUUGCCCGUCCGUCACAAAAGACAAAGUUUUAAGGCAAAUUCCUGGUUGAAUACGGAACCCUAAUAAAUAUAGACGUCUGUUUUUUAGAAUUUUGCUACUGAUAUGGUUGCCUAGUCCACUUUAGAGUGCAAAACAACGUAACACCAAUCAACGCAACGAUGCCUUUUCUAAAACUACUUAACUGUACUACCAAAGAGUAAAUUAAAAAGUUGCGUAAAAUAGACUCGCUAGAUUGCCCCAAACUCGUGUAUGAAUGUUUGAAAGUUGCUACUAUUUUUUACAUUUAAUGGCAAAGUACUCUUGUUACCUUUCGCUCUCUGGUCCUUGAAACUUAAAAAAAAAUAUUGUCAAGUAGAAGUUUUUUUCAUUAACUUUAUAUACUAAAAAGUCGCACGUCCACGGUUUAUUUUGAUGAAAUUCUUAAAAUGGUUUUGUAUUAAACGUUGUAAUAAAGAAACAAAAUACCUAGUUAUAUUUUUUUAGAGACCACGUAUGAAUCCGAUUUGCAUUUUACUUGCAGUCUCUGAAAAUGAAAACAAUGAAAUGUCAUUGUGAAUUAAAAUAGAAUGAAAUGUAUUCUUUUAUUAGCAAGGGUGUACAUGUGUGAUUGUGUGUCACCCCUUGAAGGGCGUCCAUAGGCUACGAUAAUAGUUUACCAUCAGGCGGGCUGCAUGUUUGAUUGCAAACAUUUUAAACUACAACUACUAAUACUAACUGUAUAAAUGAGUUAACGAAAAACGAAAGUUUGCACAUUUUCAUAUUCUCGAUUUGAGAAGUACUCGAUCGUAACAUCAAGUUCCUUAUUAGGCCCACUUGCACCAUCCCACUAACCCGGGAUUAAGCGGUUAAACCGUUAACCCAGUGUUAAAUUGUACUGGUAACCAUGGUAACUCCAGGUUUAACCGGUUAACCCCGGAUUAGUGGAAUGGUGCAAGUGGGUCUUAAUGUUGAUUAUUGCUUAUCUAAUCAACUUUUGUGCAGGAUGUAGGUACCAGGUACCUAUUUAAAAUCUAUAUUUUACAUAUUUCUACAUUUUAUGUAGAAAUGGUAAAUUAACAAUUAUUUGUUGUGUUUAAGUAUUGUUUAAUUUUAAUAUGAAAUAUUUCAGAAUUAUUGCACAUGAUACUUAAAUAAAUUACUUACACGUAGAUGUGUUAGAUUUUUGUUAAAAUUGUAAAGUAGAGACAAAAAAUAUCGGCUUCGUAUAUAAAUUGA